rnacentral:tRNA from 1 species
GGAGAGGUGGCUGAGUGGUUGAAAGCGGCGGUCUCGAAAACCGUUAUACGGGCAACCGUAUCGAGAGUUCGAAUCUCUCCUUCUCCG